rnacentral:tRNA from 1 species
GCCGACGUGGUGAAAUCGGUAUACACGACAGACUUAAAAUCUGUUGGCCGCAAGGCCGUGUCGGUUCGAUUCCGACCGUCGGCA